CGUCACAGCACUUUCCAGACUAACAGUAGUAAAGGCCCUCAGUAUCAAGCAGGACUAAGGCGUGUUCUGGCUUCUUGGGGUGAGGCACACACCACAUCCAGAUUCCUUUGGUGUGAGAUUUCACUGUGGAGCCAAGAGAGAAGCCUGUAAAGGAGAGAUGGGAUAAGAAGGGCUGGAGGUUUAAUAGCAGCGUUAUAGACUCCAUGUCCCUGAGCUGAGGUACUUCAGAGCUGGAGAGGAAGCAAUAGGAGUUCUUACCUGUGCUUUUCUCUUCAGUCCAGAUUAUGUCAUAUACUACAGAAAUCAUUCAAUUUUUCACCAGAGAAUAAGGUGAGUUCCUUGAAGUUGUUGAAUAAUUCAGUUUCUUUCAAGUUAUGUUUUCUUUUUGUGUUAGUCUUAUAGAAGGAGUGCUUUAAGCACACAGCUCAAGUUAAAAAAAAAGUCUAAAUGGGAUAACUGCUUUUGGCAAUGACCAGGAGAGGAAAAUCUGGAAUGGAUGGUAGAGGAGAGAGAUGAUGAAUAUCAAUUAUGGCCUUGAGACAAGUUGCAGGAGUGAAGUCUGGGGCGUGUGCUGUUAAAUCCUGUGUGUUAGGUCCUUUAUAAAUUGCAGCUGGUCACUAACAUGAAGAAUUGACAAUGGAUUGAGUUUAAUAUAGGGCACAGUGAUCAGAGUGGUGAAGGGGUGAA